AAGCCAGACUCCUACGGGAGGCAGCAGUGGGGGAUAUUGCACAAUGGGGGGAACCCUGAUGCAGCGACGCCGCGUGGGUGAAGGAGCGUUUCGGCGCGUAAAGCCCUAUCGGCAGGGAAGAAGGAGGACGGUACCUGACUAAGAAGCCCCGGCUAACUACGUGCCAGCAGCCGCGGUAAUACGUAGGGGGCAAGCGUUAUCCGGAUUUACUGGGUGUAAAGGGGGCGCAGACGGCAGCGCAAGCCAGGAGUGAAAGCCCGGGGCCCAACCCCGGGACUGCUCUUGGAACUGCGCGGCUGGAGUGCAGGAGGGGCAGGCGGAAUUCCUGGUGUAGCGGUGAAAUGCGUAGAUAUCAGGAGGAACACCGGUGGCGAAGGCGGCCUGCUGGACUGCGACUGACGUUGAGGCCCGAAAGCGUGGGGAGCAAACAGGAUUAGAUACCCCGGUAAG
rnacentral:rRNA from 1 species